ACUGAACGCUGGCGGAAUGCUUUACACAUGCAAGUCGAACGGCAGCACGGACUUCGGUCUGGUGGCGAGUGGCGAACGGGUGAGUAAUGUAUCGGAACGUGCCCAGUCGUGGGGGAUAACGUAGUGAAAAUUACGCUAAUACCGCAUACGAUCUAUGGAUGAAAGCGGGGGAUCGCAAGACCUCGCGCGAUUGGAGCGGCCGAUAUCAGAUUAGGUAGUUGGUGGGGUAAAGGCCCACCAAGCCAACGAUCUGUAGCUGGUCUGAGAGGACGACCAGCGACACUGGAACUGAGACACGGUCCAGACUCCUACGGGAGGCAGCAGUGGGGAAUUUUGGACAAUGGGCGAAAGCCUGAUCCAGCCAUUCCGCGUGCAGGAUGAAGGCCCUCGGGUUGUAAACUGCUCUUGUACAGAACGAAAAGGUUUCUACUAAUACUAGGAGCUCAUGACGGUACUGUAAGAAUAAGCACCGGCUAACUACGUGCCAGCCGCCGCCGUAA
rnacentral:rRNA from 1 species